rnacentral:rRNA from 1 species
GUUGGGAAUCUUGCGCAAUGGGCGAAAGCCUGACGCAGCGACGCCGCGUGCGGGAUGACGGUCUUCGGAUUGUAAACCGCUUUUCUCGGGGACGAUGGUGACGGUACCCGAGGAAUCAGCCCCGGCUAACUCCGUGCCAGCAGCCGCGGUAAGACGGAGGGGGCAAGCGUUGUCCGGAAUUACUGGGCGUAAAGAGCGCGUAGGCGGUCGCGUACGGCGGUGGUGAAAGCUCCCGGCUCAACUGGGAGAGGCCCGCCGCAACGGCGUGACUCGAGGGUGGUAGAGGCGGAUGGAAUUCCCGGUGUAACGGUGAAAUGUGUAGAGAUCGGGAGGAACACCCGUGGCGAAGGCGGUCCGCUGGGCCAUGCCUGACGCUGAGGCGCGAAAGCCAGGGGAGUGAACGGGAUUAGAUACCCGAGUAGUCC